AGCAGCCGCCGCGGUAACACAGAGGGUGCGAGCGUUAAUUGGAUUUACUGGGCGUAAAGCGUGCGUAGGCGGCUUCUUAAGUCGGAUGUGAAAUCCCUGAGCUUAACUUAGGAAUUGCAUUCGAUACUGGGAAGCUAGAGUAUGGGAGAGGAUGGUAGAAUUCCAGGUGUAGCGGUGAAAUGCGUAGAGAUCUGGAGGAAUACCGAUGGCGAAGGCAGCCAUCUGGCCUAAUACUGACGCUGAGGUACGAAAGCAUGGGGAGCAAACAGGAUUAGAUACCCCUGUAGUCCCUGUCUCUUAUAC
rnacentral:rRNA from 1 species